rnacentral:rRNA from 1 species
UUAAAAUGAGAGUUUGAUCCUGGCUCAGGAUGAACGCUGGCGGCGUGCCUAAUACAUGCAAGUCGAACGCUUUGUCUUUAAUUGAUCUGACGAGCUUGCUCUAAUUUGAUUUUAUCUGACAAAGAGUGGCGAACGGGUGAGUAACACGUGGGUAACCUACCUCUUAGCAGGGGAUAACAUUUGGAAACAAGUGCUAAUACCGUAUAAUACCAACAACC